rnacentral:lncRNA from 1 species
CAGCUAGUAGAUAUGCAUACUGAAGAAAUUCAACCAUCUUUAUGUUGUUCCUUAGACAUCGGUCGUUGUAUCACACGCAAUGUGAAUUUUCACGUCAUAUGGUACUACUAAUCUAGAUCAGCGCAGGCCCCUACUGGUGUUUUCUAGUGGGUUAAUUUCAACAAGGUACACAUAGAAUUUUUAACUUCAGCUAAACUGAAAGAUCAGCGCAGGCCCCUGCUCAAAUACACCUGCAAGAAAUAGCAUAUAUAAUGUGUGUUGAGUAUUAUGUUUAGUUAGGAAAUAUGAGAUAGACUAGGAUAUAUUCCAGCUUGUCUUGUACUCCAAGUUGAUCAUGUACUCCUAUAUGUUGGAAUUGAUCUACGGUUAUAACAAACUGAGACAAAGAAGGGGAGGAUUUGCAUCCCUAGUACAUGCCCUGAUCGGGGGCAUUGACCCAACUUUUGGUUUUGGUCCCUGUCCCCUUCGCACCACUUACAAAAUGAGGAGGUCGUACCCCUUGGGGGUAACACACGUACGGGUUAGCACCCGGUUACUCCUAACAGCCGAUCCUGAAAGGGUGCUUAAGGGGAUCAGAAGACCACCACCACCGCCGGCCACCUCCAGGUCCGUGCCGGCGGCAUCCUUCGUGUCUGCUACAUCGCCUGCUGAUGCCCUUCCUCCCGACGAUCUUCUCACUGCUGGAGAUGCUAAGGUGGAGCCAGGGGCUAUCCUGUUAAUGGAUCAAGAUAAUCACGGUUAGUAACCACUAUUCUGCUUGAUGGGUGUUCUAAUCAAGAGAUCCAGCUCCUAGUUAUCUUAACUCUAAAGUAUUAUUGUUAACAUUGGUAUCAGAGCCAGUUUGAUCUCUGUUUAAGAACUCCAAUUAGACUCGGUUUACUAAUUCCUUAUGAAUUUGAGUAAUGUUCAUGCAUAAAUCGCUUCCGCUUACAUAAUAAUGAUGAUGACAUCUGGGUUAAGUGCUAAUUGCCCUGACUAAUGUUUGCUAAUUAUGAAAUAGCCGAAAUUAAAUUUUCGCCUAAUAUAUUAGCACUGAUUGUGGCCUCGGUUCAGAAAAGGAUUCAAAUUUUUUUUUUAAGAAAAGAUCCCGAGAAAAAAAAAGCUGUUUUUCCCCAAAUCCCGAGCACUAGAAGCAAAGAAUAAAUCCUCAACGUGUUUGGGCUGGGGGUGCUUACCCGCUCCAGAUUGGAGAUGUUGCCGUGCCGCACACACAUCAUGGACGCCUACGAGCAUGGCCACCACGCCAUGCGCGUCAACGUCAGUACCUCAUGCUGCAGCAGCAUCGUUGAAGGCGUGCCAUCCGCAGCGGCGGACGAGCCGCAGGUUUACGACGCCUAAUGGAUGACGCCGAGUGCCUCGCGUCACCGCCGGCGGGCACUUAUGGCCGAACUGGCACCACUGCUCUCUCCUCCGGCAUCCCGCAAUAAAUGUCGUGUAGCUGCACGGGUGGCCACGCUCGACGGAGCAGCGCGCGGGAUCCCUCCGUUGCACGCUACUCCGGCGAGCGGAGCCGCCGAACCGCCAUGGACACCGGGCUCUCGCGCCUUGCUUUGUGCCGCCGCCAGUGGUCGGUCGCGAGCGGAGAAAGCGGGGGAGGAGAGAAGAAUGCGCUAGGGUUUGCCAGCGCGAGUUAGUUUUGUUCCGAAGGGAGCAACUUACAACCGUUAGAUGGGAUCGACGGCUGACGUUGAUGCUCCGCUGCAGUCGGGCUGCGGGUGGCUUAGCGGGCCUAAUCUGGCUGUAGGCUACGACCCAGGUUGUGUUGGCCCAGUAUAAAGUUUUCUUAUGUUAAUGAAUUUAGCUGCUGG